GACGAACGCUGGCGGCGUGCUUAACACAUGCCAGUCGAACGGAAAGGCCCUGCGUUUGUGGGGUGCUCGAGUGGCGAACGGGUGAGUAACACGUGAGUAACCUGCCCUUGACUUUGUGAUAACUUCAGGAAACUGGGGCUAAUACCGGAUAGGAGCUCCUGCUGCAUGUUGGGGGUUGGAAAGUUUCGGCGGUUGGGGAUGGACUCGCGGCUUAUCAGCUUGUUGGUGGGGUAGGGGCUGACCAAGGCUUUGACGGGUAGCCCGCCUGAGAGGGUGACCGGCGACCAUGGGCCUGAGAUACGGCACAGACUGCUACGGGAGGCAGCAGGGGGGAAUAUUGCACAAUGGGCGGAAGCCUGAUGCAGCAACGUCGCGUGCGGGAUGACGGCCUUCGGGUUGUAAACAGCUUUCGAAGGUAACGAAGCGUGAGUGACGGUAACGGGUAAAGAAGCACCGGCUAACUACGUG
rnacentral:rRNA from 1 species